rnacentral:lncRNA from 1 species
UAGUUAAUACAGGGGGAUCCUGACUCACUCCAGGUCUGCCGGGCUCGUUCCGGUGCUGCCAGCCAGGAUCCUGCGCAAGAAGCUGCAGCGAGGACCCCCCUGAGAGGUGGGAUGGUGGCCCUCUGAUUCACGUACCACCCACUCACCAAGCACCCCUCUGAGAAGCACUAGCAGCCCCUCCCACAGGGGUUAAGAGCAUGGCCCCUGGAGCCACUGUGUGGUUCUGAAUUCUGGCUUUACUAUCUGCUAGAUGGGAUUACUCAUUUGCAAAAUGAAAGCAAUGGCAGCAUCUACAUCUCAAUAGGGUCUUAUGAGGGUUAAGUGUUGGGCAAACUUCACAUGUAGAACCGUGCCCGGCACGCGGUCAGUCUGAUCAAAGCACUGGCUUUCGUCGUUCUUCCCACAGUAGAUGAAACGGACCUCGUCUUUGCCCUUACAGGAGUGCAGGCUCAUGAAGGAAGGCAGGUAAAAUAAUACAAAUAAAUGUAUCCUGAUAGAUCAUGCUAGGAAGGAAAAGGUAAGAAGAGCAGGAGGAAAUAACAGGAGAGGUGAAAAGUGAGAAAGCACUCACCAUGCAAAAAUGGAGGGAAUGAACAUUCCCAGCAGAGAAAUAGCAUGUGCAAAGGCCCUGAGGUGGGUAGGAAUGGGGUGUAUCACUCAGCAGAGGUCGUUGUGGCUGAAGAAUAGUGAGUAAGGAGAGACAUCCAGGCCAAUUCAGGGACAAGCUGCCCUGAGCCCUCAAGGCACCAUCACAAUCAGCCAGACUGGAACGUUCUAGAACACCCCUCUUAGAGGAGCUUACCUAACAAGGCGCCAGGUCCAUGAUGAAAGGUGCUGCUGACCUCAGAGCUGACCCCCUCCGUGGGAAGGGGAGGCCAAGAUACUGACAGACGGCGACCAAGUGUCUGGCCCUGGGACUGGCCUGGGCAACAGUACUACCAAUGGACAGAGCAGUCCUGCCCUCACGGAGCGGCCUGGUUCCUGGGCCGUACAGAUACCCCAUGACUUGAUCAACCAAUCCCGAACUGAGGAGCUUCUAAAGAUUGUGCCUCACAAAGACACAAGAACAGAUGGAGCAGUGAAACUUGCACACAAUAGUACAACGGUGGGUAUAUGUCACACAUUUGUCAUGGAACCUAUAAGACCAGGAGUGAAUCCUAAUGUGAACUAUGGAGUCUGGGUGAUAAUGACGUGUCGGUGUAGAUUUGACAAUUGUAACAAGUGUCCCACUCUGGUGUGGGAGAUGCUGAGAGUGCGUACGUGGGGACAGGGGUAUGUGAGGGCUCUCUGUGUGUUCUACUCAAUUUUUCUGAGACCCUAAAACUGCUCCAAAAAAUAGUCUAUUUAAUGGUAAUAAAAAACCAAUCGAUCACA